rnacentral:rRNA from 1 species
CCUACGGGUGGCAGCAGUGGGGAAUAUUGGGCACUGGGCGCAAGCCUGACCCAGCAACGCCGCGUGAAGGAAGAAGGCUUUCGGGUUGUAAACUUCUUUUCUGAGGGACGAAGAAAGUGACGGUACCUCAGGAAUAAGCCACGGCUAACUACGGGCCAGCAGCCGCGGUAAUACGUAGGUUGCAAGCGUUAUCCGGAUUUAGUGGGUGUAAAGGGCGUGUAGGCGGGAAAGCAAGUCAGAUUUGAAAACUCAGGGCUCAACCCUGAGACUGUAUUUGAAACUGUUUUUCUUGAGUGCUGGAGAGGCAAUCGGAAUUCCGUGUGUAGCGGUGAAAUGCGUAGAUAUACGGAGGAACACCAGUGGCGAAGGCGGAUUGCUGGACAGUAACUGACGCUGAGGCGCGAAAGCGUGGGGAGCAAACAGGAUUAGAUACCCUUGUAGUC